GAAUAGGGGGCAGCCAGCGUACGGUGUGGGAACUCGGGCCGGCGCGGGAGCCUGCGGUCAAGGGGGCUCAGCACUUUGUAAACAAGGAGUGGGAAGCGUUAAAAAAACGCUCGUAGGGAAAACCAGGGAAGGGCGGACAUAGCGCCAGGGUGGCAGGAAUGGAGCCCGGGCAAAGACGGCCCUGCCGUGGGCCCUAGCGCUCCCUUCGUCGGCCCCUGGAGCUGCGGCCGGGCGUGGGUCAGUCGUUCACGGGCCCGGAAAUUCCACUGGGACACCCGAAAAAGUGCUGCACGCCGCCUGAGGGAGACGGAAAGGGACCCGGGGCACUGAGUCCAUUGCUGGGGUCGCCAGGGUACGUGGCAGGACCCGCUGUGCACACUCGGGACUGAGGAGACCCCUGGGACGCGGAGAGCCGCUCCAGGGCAGAACCAGUCCGUCAGCAUUUAGCCUUCCACGGGCCUGAGGGUGCGAGCCCUGCGGGGGCCACAGGGUCAUUGUCCAAAGUCAUCCCCGUUUGCACUGUGGCAGCACCGAACCCGGAAGUAACAGCUUUGGCAGGUCUUUGAUGGUGAUCCAGUGGCAGGAGGAGCUCAGCUGGAAUGGGAAUCAGGAAAGAGACCUGGCUUCUGCCAUUUAUUGGCACUUCACCCUUCUGAACCUCAGCUUUCAAAUGAGAGCUGGCUUCUAGGUCUAGAAUACAGUGAGUGUGAGAAAAAUAACUGAGAGGCGUUGGGACUUCAGUAACUACUCAUUCCUUAACCAGUUGUUGAUUGUGCCUGUUGUGCCAGGAUGAAAUAUUUGUUAAUAAUAGAGACCAGAAAGGAGAGGGGGGAAAAAACAAGCAUAUGUAUGAUUCAAGCAAUGAAGAGCUACUCUCCGGAGUUGGCUCUUUCCUGUGCUUCACUUCGUACUUGAAGAUGCCACAAUGCCUGGCUUCCUUAUCAACCAGCUGAACUCCGAAUUGUGCCUUACAGGAUGCGAAGAAUCCGGUAGGGCAGUGGCAAGACUUUAACAGCUGUGGUUUACAACCUUCUUAUUAAAUUAAGUCUAAUGCGAGCUAAAGUGUUAAGAUAGUCUCCAUUUAGAAAGGAAAGAGGCUUACAAUGAGAAUUUUUGAAAAAUAAGCCUGAGACUGUGCUGUCUCUAUCGUUGCAUUUGCUUUUCACAGUCCUUGGCACCCACUGCCUUUUUGUCUCCCUCGGUUUCUAACCCGUUCUGUUUUCUUGCAUUUGUUCAGUAUAAGGAGUAUUUCCUGUAUGCUUUGGCAACUAUUUUCCAUAGACUCUGCUUGUGUUCUCCUUAUAAAACCAGAACAAGAGCAGUGCAAAAAAGAAAACGACCCUGAUAGGAAUGCGCUGAUAACCUUACUUUCCCUACUCUCCAAACCUGAAUUGGGCACCCUUGGUUUUAGCAAGAGAUAGAACUCAACAGUUUGCAUACACUUGCGGAUCUGCCUGUAACCCCACUUCCUAUUUCACAGCCUAAUCUCGGAUGAUACCACAAUGCCCACAGUAUGCUGAUCACCACCAACAGCAGAUGGAGGCGGAUAAAAAGAGCUUUCUCGCUAGUGUGUUGUUUUAAAAGAACCUGAUGGAGAGCUAUGAUCAUAUGUAACACUGCCUCUAGUUAGUUUUUAAAUAACACUUGUAGCAUAUGUCUGGCGCCUGUGCUCAGGAUUUCAACAGAUCAUUUUCAGGAUUUUGACAUUUAACUGGCUUCUUAUGAAGUAGCAGAGAGUUCCAAAAUGUAGAACUGAAAUAUAAGCUCCACACACAGGCAGAGAUUUGAGUCUGAUUUGUUUGUGUGUAUAUCCCAAGUGCCUAAAAGCACUUGGCAUACGGUAGAUGCACAAUAGAUUCCUGUUAAAUGUAUUUUUAGGUGAAAAUGUAGUCUGUACUUUGCAUAAACUUGUCCUACUUUCUUCCUAGUUCUUUAAUAAGUAACCUACUUUUCAUUAUAUAUUUUUAAAUGAAAAAACAAAAUUAUAUCUGGCAUCACUACUUUGGCUGGGCUAUAAAGAAACAGGAAUUUGGCAGUAUGUAUUAAAAUUACAAAUGCAUAUAUACUCGGAGCCUUGAAUUUCAUUUCCAGGGAUUUAUGCCACAGAUGUUUCCACACAUAAGAAAUAACAAGGUGUUUCUUAUUGUUGAGAAUAGCAAAAGAUUGGAAACAAGCUAAGUAUCUAUCAACAGGAUACUAGUUAAAUUAUGAUAGAGCCAUAUGUUUGAACAUUGUGCAGCUGUUAAUCAAAAAAACAGAAAGUUCUUUGUUUUAACAUUAAGAUCUCCAAGAUUUUUUUGUUAAGUGAAAAACACAGAAAUACGGUACAGAAUAUUGUAUUAAAUUGUAUAUGCAUUAAACUAGGACAAAGUAACAUGAGGUAUGAGAACACAGUAGAUGGAAAGCAUAAGAAAUAGACUUCAUUGUAUUCAUAUUUAAACUUUUUGAUAUUCAAAAUUUCAGAAUGUUUUAUCUAUUCAAAUAGUGAAAAUGUUUAAAAUUUUUCUGGCAUCUUUUUGUUGUUGUU
rnacentral:lncRNA from 1 species